GACGAACGCUGGCGGCGUGCUUAACACAUGCAAGUCGAACGGAAAGGCCCUGCUUUUGUGGGGUGCUCGAGUGGCGAACGGGUGAGUAACACGUGAGUAACCUGCCUUUGACUUUGGGAUAACUUCAGGAAACUGGGGCUAAUACCGGAUAGGAGCUCCUGCUGCAGGGUGGGGGUUGGAAAGUUUCGGCGGGUGGGGAUGGACUCGCGGCUUAUGAGCUUGCUGGUGGGGUAGUGGCUUACCAAGGCUUUGACGGGUAGCCGGCCUGUGAGGGUGACCGGCCACAUUGGGACUGAGAGACGGCCCAGACUCCUACGGGAGGCAGCAGUGGGGAAUAUUGCACAAUGGGCGGAAGCCUGAUGCAGAAACGCCGCGUGCGGGAUGACGGCCUUCGGGUUGUAAACCGCUUUCGCCUGUGACGAAGCGUGAGUGACGGUAAUGGGUAAAGAAGCACCGGCUAACUACGUG
rnacentral:rRNA from 1 species